rnacentral:tRNA from 1 species
GGUGGCUCAGUGGUAGAGUGGGUGCCUUGCAUGCAUGAGGCCCUGAGUUUGAUUCCUCAGCACCA